GAUGAACGCUGGCGGCGUGCCUAAUACAUGCAAGUCGAGCGAACGGACGAGAAGCUUGCUUCUCUGAUGUUAGCGGCGGACGGGUGAGUAACACGUGGAUAACCUACCUAUAAGACUGGGAUAACUUCGAGAAACCGGAGCUAAUACCGGAUAAUAUUUUGAACCGCAUGGUUCAAAAGUGAAAGACGGUCUUGCUGUCACUUAUAGAUGGAUCCGCGCUGCAUUAGCUAGUUGGUAAGGUAACGGCUUACCAAGGCAACGAUGCAUAGCCGACCUGAGAGGGUGAUCGGCCACACUGGAACUGAGACACGGUCCAGACUCCUACGGGAGGCAGCAGUAGGGAAUCUUCCGCAAUGGGCGAAAGCCUGACGGAGCAACGCCGCGUGAGUGAUGAAGGUCUUCGGAUCGCAAAACUCUGUUAUUAGGGAAGAACAUAUGUGUAAGUAACUGUGCACAUCUUGACGGUACCUAAUCAGAAAGCCACGGCUAACUACGUG
rnacentral:rRNA from 1 species